GAUAUUCUAUCCAGAUCAUCACGCCAUUUUUGGAACGUGUGGUGCCCGCUUCAGGCACCAGGCAUGCAGGCUGUCCUCACCGUGCCUUCCUGUCUUUCUGUGGAUACCUGCAAGGAGGCAAUGGCUCCUCCUCAGAGAUGAGCCAUGCUGGAUGCCGCAACACAAGAGAACAGGAAAUCCCAACUCUUCUUGGCACCUGAGAGGCAGUGGUGGAGACACGUGUGCCUGUAUCAGCAGAGAGCCCAGGCUGUCAUAAUGAUAAACUGCUGAAAGAAAGCAAUGGAAUAACUCCAGGGCAUCAGUUCAGCAGUGAAGUGAUGCAAACACAGUCUGAUGAUGUAAGAGGACAACUCUGCUAGGGAGUAGGGAUGGGAUUUUUUUUUUUUUUAAGCCUGUUUUAGUGCUUGUGGGAAAUACCAAAUCCUACUGCUCUGGUUAAGGUGUGCUAUCCUAUUUCAGUCUUCAGUGAAAUUUCAUCUUUUAAAGAAAAAACAUGUUUUUUUUUUUUUUUUUGGAAACUGUUAUGUCUCAUGCAAGUGCCAAAGAUAAUCAUAUCUGAAGAACUCCAAAGAAUGGGAGAGGUCAUGGCAAUUUUUUUCAAUUUAUUUUGUAUUUAGCUUUUUCAGUGCAGUUUGUACAUUUCUACAAGUCAGCUUUUCAGGGCAAACUGUAGCAUAGGAGAGUACAUCUUGAAUUAAUAGAUCAGUGGCUUAGCAUUCGUGUCAGGUUACCUAAAGUUAUUUUAAAAUGAUAUAUAAAAUGAUUUUUAAAAACAGUGAGCCCCCUAGGUUGUUUAAUUUUCAAAUCCAUCACUCAAGCCGAGACGGUUUACAGUGCAUGUGGCAUAGGAGAAGAAGGAUUACUGUACGUGUAAAGCAUGAGGACAAAGAUUAUUGAGGAAGUACCAGAGUCAGACGUCACUUUGUGUACAGGAGGUAAUAUUUAUUUACAACAUAAUUUGCUUCGGUAUGACAAUGAGACCGAGUCCUAUGUUAAACACACAAGUUAAGUCCGCAGUAUAAUCUAUGGUUAUAAUAGUGUUUAUUUUCUUUGUUACGCAGCUGCACCAUUAGAAGUCCUGUGACAUUUUAUGUGCAGAGCUGCAGUGGUUGCUUACGUCGUAAAAUACUUUCCUGUAGUAUGUGCCUUUUUAAUGUUCAAAGAAGAAUCAUGUUAGACAUCCUUUCUUGAUGUCUUGUGACCUGGGAACGGAACCUAUUGUGCAAAAACAACAAGGAGAAACCAAAACCUUGCAGUGAGUCCAGUUGGAUGAAUUGUUUCUUUUUUUCUGAAGGUCAUUCAUUGCUAUAGAUUCUUGAGAGAAUAUGCAGAAGUGAACAGUCAUUCCUCACAGUUUUCCCUGCAUGUUAAUGGUAUGUUCCUUGCACUCAGGAAAUCAGUGUCAGUGAUGUAAUGGGAGUUUCUACAUCAUACUGGUAUGUCAUUUGCACGAAGAGAGCGUCAUGAGAGCUGGUGAGAUUGAUGUCCUCUCUAAGAAUAGCACUGAUUAUAGAACAGAUUUUCCCAUGUACAGAGCCAUUUUUAAUUCACUGCCUACUGCAGCUGCCAGCCUGCAGAGAUAAUUCCUUCGAGCAGAAUAGCUCUAGAUUAUUAUAGGGAAAUCAAAUUU
rnacentral:lncRNA from 7 species